UACGGGGGGGGCAAGCGUUGUUCGGAAUUACUGGGCGUAAAGGGCUCGUAGGCGGCCAACUAAGUCGGAUGUGAAAUCCCCAAGCUUAACUUGGGAACUGCAUCCGAUACUGGAUGGCUUGAAUCCGGGAGAGGGAUGCAGAAUUCCAGGUGUAGCGGUGAAAUGCGUAGAUAUCUGGAGGAAUACCGGUGGCGAAGGCGGCAUCCUGGACCGGCAUUGACACUCAACUACGAAAGCGUGGGGAGCAAACAGG
rnacentral:rRNA from 1 species